AGCUCGUGAGUUCUGCCUAUCCCCAGUUUCGCAUUGCCAAUCACUCACUUUUCUGAGUGGCUGUUGAGCUUGUCUAUCCAUCACCGGCUAUUCUUCCUUGCUGUCGUGAUGGGCUUCUGGAAGUGGUGAAGAUGCUGGUUUUUCUGUCACUGUUCUCUACUCUUUCUAGUUGAACUAGCAAAAAAGGAGGACUUAAGACUUGGGAGGUGGAAGUUAUAAGCUCAAAUUCUAGCUUUUUCACAAUGAAUAUGUGACGUGGCACGUGGUGGCAACAUGGAGUGACAUGGCAUAAGUUGUCAGGUGAUAUGGCAUGAUGUGGCACACACAUGGUGAGGUGACGUGGUACGUGCCGUGCAUGAGGAAGUGCACACAUGGCAGGUGAUGUGGCACAAGGUGUCAGUUGACGCGGUGCCUUUCAGUUCAAUUGGCAAAGAAGGAGAGUAUAAAGCUUGAAAGGAGACUUUGACUUAGGACGCAUUAGCAAGCACUCAAACUAUUGAUGAGGAUAUAUUGGAAAAGGUGUUGGGGAAUACUGACCAUCCUGGUCGUGUUCAGGGCGUCGGCUUUGGAGCCACAAGAAAAGAUUACUUUGGAGAUGGGUUCAAGCGCAGUAAAAAGGCUACUUCUUUUGUUGAGGUUUAAGAGUUAAGGCAAGAGCCAGAGGAACAGAAGUAGCGGAUACUAGCACAAUCGCAACAGAUACAAGAACAAUCUAGACUCGUAAACAUGCUAUUGAGCUGACAUAAGUUGGGGCUUCUAUUGGGUGAUAAUAGCCCUAGUGUGAAUGAUAGUUGCAUUAUCCCAUCUCAGCUCUUACCUGAGAUAUUAUUAUUCAUUUUACUAUAGUCUUAUAGAUAAUACUACUUUUAUUGUUCAUAUUACAUAAUUUUUUUCUUUUUUUAAUUUGUGUAAGGUAAGGCCAACGUUGAUUGUUUGGCAGAAGAUGGACAUGUGGUUGUACUAGGGUGCAUGUACAACAUUACUGGGCAAGUAAUGCUUCACAAUGAACACAUCCCUGAAAGGACAGUGAAAGUCUCUUUAAAGAUAGCUGAGGAUCCUAAUUAUGAUCUACCUUAUCUCAUUCCAAAUGCAAGGAUAGUAGUAAAUGCAUUGCUCAGCUUUGUUGCAUGGCCGGUUCAUCAUCUUUGCUUUUUAGAGCCAUCUCCAAAGCCUAUUGAUAAACCGGUGGGAAAGAAAGCAUCGGAGGCUAUAAAAGCAUUUACUACUAAGUGGAAGAGGGGAAAUGAUAAGAAGAGCUCUGACAAAUCUAAGGAGUCCAUCACAUUUUCCCAAAAGACACUGGUUCUCCCCCAAGCUCAUGCCUAAAGCCCCUCAGCCUCAAGCCUCUAAGUGUCAAGCCGCACCUAACAAAAAUCAGCAAUUGCUUAAUACCUAUGCCAAGAUGCAAGAAGGAGUGCUGCUCCCUUUCCUGUAGACAUGUAUGCUAAUCCACAGUCUUUUAACCAAGUUAACAAUGAGGUGUUGGAUGAUUUAUUCAACCAUGCAGAGGCUACUACUACCCUAUGUAACUUAUAUAUGAUAAACCUCUACACUACCAUGCUUGCUGGAAGAGAUAUAGCACAGAGGAUUAUAUUUGUCAGUCCUCAUAUGGUCUCUCCUUAUAGCCAUAACAUAAUGAGUCCUAAGCAAAGACUGAAAAUAUAUCAGAAGCUUUCAAAGUACUUCCACCAACGUGGUGCCAACAAGAACACAAUAUUCAUAACACCUUAUUGUGAAGGGGGACACUGGAUGUUACUUGUGAUCAAUCCAACUUUAGGGAGGGUGUGGUACCUUAACCCUCUUCAUGGUGGCCAUCUCUCUAACAAACCACAUAUUGUGAAAAUGAUUAAUCAGGCUAUUGUCAUGUAUCGCACUGAUGUUGAUAAACAAUUUUGAUAACUAGUAAAGGGCAACGGUCGGUUUGAUACAGCAGCAUCAUGGACAGUUGUCAAGCACCCAGAGCAAGUAGACAAAGUUAGGGAUUGUGGGUACACGCUGUCAUGAAAUUCAUGAAGGACAUAAUCCAACAUGCUCCAACCGAAAUUCUUUCGAAUGAUUACUACGAGGAUGCAAACUAUGACACAUAUACUCAUGCUCAAAUGGAAGAACUCCUUGAGGAGUUAGCACACGGUAUUUUUAAAGCAUGCUUUAGUUUUAACAACCAGCAACAGUGAUAGUUAGAAAACUUAAGCAAAUUUUAGGAUUUAGAGCUUUAUGUUUUAGCCUCU